rnacentral:rRNA from 1 species
UACGUAGGGUGCAAGCGUUGUCCGGAAUUAUUGGGCGUAAAGAGCUCGUAGGCGGUCUGUUGCGUCGACGGUGAAAACCCUCAGCUCAACUGGGGGCCUGCCGUCGAUACGGGCAGACUUGAGUGCGGUAGGGGAGACCGGAAUUCCUGGUGUAGCGGUGAAAUGCGCAGAUAUCAGGAGGAACACCGGCGGCGAAGGCGGCCAACUGGACGAACACUGACGCUGAGGCGCGAAAGCGUGGGGAGCGAACAGG